rnacentral:rRNA from 1 species
AGUGAACGCUGGCGGUAGGCCUAACAUAUGCAAGUCGAACGGCAGCACAGUAAGAGCUUGCUCUUACGGGUGGCGAGUGGCGGACGGGUGAGGAAUACAUCGGAAUCUACUUUUUCGUGGGGGAUAACGUAGGGAAACUUACGCUAAUACCGCAUACGACAUACGGGUGAAAGCAGGGGAUCUUCGGACCUUGCGCGAUUGAAUGAGCCGAUGUCGGAUUAGCUAGUUGGCGGGGUAAAGGCCCACCAAGGCGACGAUCCGUAGCUGGUCUGAGAGGAUGAUCAGCCACACUGGAACUGAGACACGGUCCAGACUCCUACGGGAGGCAGCAGUGGGGAAUAUUGGACAAUGGGCGCAAGCCUGAUCCAGCCAUACCGCGUGGGUGAAGAAGGCCUUCGGGUUGUAAAGCCCUUUUGUUGGGAAAGAAAAGCAGCAGGUUAAUACCCCGCUGUUCUGACGGUACCCAAAGAAUAAGCACCGGCUAACUUCGUG